rnacentral:rRNA from 1 species
GCUCAACCGGGGAGGGUCAUUGGAAACUGGGGAACUUGAGUGCAGAAGAGGAGAGUGGAAUUCCACGUGUAGCGGUGAAAUGCGUAGAGAUGUGGAGGAACACCAGUGGCGAAGGCGACUCUCUGGUCUGCAACUGACGCUGAGGCGCGAAAGCGUGGGGAGCGAACAGGAUUAGAUACCCUGGUAGUCCACGCCGUAAACGAUGAGUGCUAAGUGUUAGAGGGUUUCCGCCCUUUAGUGCUGCAGCAAACGCAUUAAGCACUCCGCCUGGGGAGUACGGUCGCAAGACUGAAACUCAAAGGAAUUGACGGGGGCCCGCACAAGCGGUGGAGCAUGUGGUUUAAUUCGAAGCAACGCGAAGAACCUUACCAGGUCUUGACAUCCUUUGACAACCCUAGAGAUAGGGCUUCCCCUUCGGGGGCAGAGUGACAGGUGGUGCAUGGUUGUCGUCAGCUCGUGUCGUGAGAUGUUGGGUUAAGUCCCGCAACGAGCGCAACCCUUGAUCUUAGUUGCCAGCAUUCAGUUGGGCACUCUAAGGUGACUGCCGGUGACAAACCGGAGGAAGGUGGGGAUGACGUCAAAUCAUCAUGCCCCUUAUGACCUGGGCUACACACGUGCUACAAUGGGCAGAACAAAG